CGGGAUUAAAGACCUGCUUCCAUUCUUCCAUUCUUCCUUUUCCCCUGCCCUGAUUUGCAGGGUCAUUCCUGGAGCGCCCCCGCCCCCAGCUCCCUCUCACUCCCUUCCUUUUCACGAUUCCAGAGCACCCUUCUCAGGAGCCGGGAUGUGCAGGGGCCGUUCUGCAGGUGCAGUUCUUCCAUCGAGCUUCUUCAGCUGGGAAACCGCGGGCCAGGCCCGUUUGCUCUGCCGGCUCCAUAAAGAGGAUGCACAAUCUAACAACGUCUUGAAAAUGAUUUAAGUAAAGCCACGUGUUCUUAACUCGGAUUUUUCUUGCAUAACAUGAUGAAUAUGGAAAGGUGUUUAGAAGAAAUGAAGAUGUUUAACCUAUAGCGGACUGUUUCUGUUCAUGGGGGAAAGGAGAGAGAAAAAUUUGUAACAAGAGGUUGUUGAAAUGUUGAAAAUGUUUAAAUGUUGAAUAUUGAAAACUAUCUUUGCAUGUAUUUGAAAAAAUAAAAUACUAUUAAAAUUUUUAAAAA